rnacentral:rRNA from 1 species
AUGCAGUCGACGGCAGCACAGGAGAGCUUGCUCUCUGGGUGGCGAGUGGCGGACGGGUGAGGAAUACAUCGGAAUCUACCUUGUCGUGGGGGAUAACGUAGGGAAACUUACGCUAAUACCGCAUACGACCUACGGGUGAAAGCAGGGGACCUUCGGGCCUUGCGCGAUUAGAUGAGCCGAUGUCCGAUUAGCUAGUUGGCGGGGUAAAGGCCCACCAAGGCGACGAUCGGUAGCUGGUCUGAGAGGAUGAUCAGCCACACUGGAACUGAGACACGGUCCAGACUCCUACGGGAGGCAGCAGUGGGGAAUAUUGGACAAUGGGCGCAAGCCUGAUCCAGCCAUGCCGCGUGGGUGAAGAAGGCCUUCGGGUUGUAAAGCCCUUUUGUUGGGAAAGAAAAGCAAUCGGUUAAUACCCGGUUGUUCUGACGGUACCCAAAGAAUAAGCACCGGCUAACUUCGUGCCAGCAGCCGCGGUAAUACGAAGGGUGCAAGCGUUACUCGGAAUUACUGGGCGUAAAGCGUGCGUAGGUGGUGAUUUAAGUCCGUUGUGAAAGCCCUGGGCUCAACCUGGGAAUUGCAGUGGAUACUGGGUCACUAGAAUGUGGUAGAGGGUAGCGGAAUUCCUGGUGUAGCAGUGAAAUGCGUAGAGAUCAGGAGGAACAUCCGUGGCGAAGGCGGCUACCUGGACCAACAUUGACACUGAGGCACGAAAGCGUGGGAGCAAACAGGAUUAGAUACCCUGGUAGUCCACGCCCUAAACGAUGCGAACUGGAUGUUGGGUGCAACUUGGCACGCAGUAUCGAAGCUAACGCGUUAAGUUCGCCGCCUGG